GACGAACGCUGGCGGCGUGCCUAAUACAUGCAAGUAGAACGCACAGUUUAUACCGUAGCUUGCUACACCAUAGACUGUGAGUUGCGAACGGGUGAGUAACGCGUAGGUAACCUGCCUGGUAGCGGGGGAUAACUAUUGGAAACGAUAGCUAAUACCGCAUAAUAUUAAUUAUUGCAUGAUAAUUAAUUGAAAGGUGCAAUUGCACCACUACCAGAUGGACCUGCGUUGUAUUAGCUAGUAGGUGAGGUAACGGCUCACCUAGGCGACGAUACAUAGCCGACCUGAGAGGGUGAUCGGCCACACUGGGACUGAGACACGGCCCAGACUCCUACGGGAGGCAGCAGUAGGGAAUCUUCGGCAAUGGACGAAAGUCUGACCGAGCAACGCCGCGUGAGUGAAGAAGGUUUUCGGAUCGUAAAGCUCUGUUGUAAGAGAUGAACGGGUGUGAGAGUGGAAAGUUCACACUGUGACGGUAUCUUACCAGAAAGGGACGGCUAACUACGUG
rnacentral:rRNA from 1 species